rnacentral:rRNA from 1 species
UUUCCUUAAUCAAGAACGAAAGCUAGAGGUUUGAAGGCGAUCAGAUCCCGCCCUAGUUCUAACCCGUUAAACGAUCCCAACCAGCCAAUCCGCGGGAGUUAUUCAAUGACUCUGCGGGCGGCUCCAGGGAAACCAAAGUUUUUGGGUUCCGGGGGAAGUAUGGUUGCAAAAGCUGAAACUUAAAGGAAUUGACGGAAGGGCACCACCAGGAGUGGAGCCUGCGGCUUAAUUUGACUCAACGCGGGGAAACUCACCCGGCCCGGACACUGUAAGGAUUGACAGAUUGAUAGCUCUUUCUUGAUUCAGUGGAUGGUGGUGCAUGGCCGUUCUUAGUUGGUGGAGCGAUUUGUCUGGUUAAUUCCGAUAACGAACGAGACUCCGGCCUACUAACUAGAACGUAGAUUUUUUGUCUACGAGACUUCUUAGAGGGACUCGGGGCGUCUAGCCUCACGAAAUGGAGCGAUAACAGGUCUGUAAUGCCCUUAGAUGUCCGGGGCCGCACGCGCGCUACACUGAAGGAAGCAACAAGCUAUACCCUGGUUCGAAAGGACUGGGUAACCUUGUGAAACUCCUUCGUGAUUGGGAUAGGGACUUGCAAUUAUUUCCCUUGAACGAGGAAUUCCUAGUAAGUGUGGGUCAUCAUCUCGCGUUGAUUACGUCCCUGCCCUUUGUACACACCGCCCGUCGCUACUACCGAUUGAAUGAAAUACUGAAAUUGACGGAUUGGUCUUUUGGUGGCUUCGCGGCUGCCAUUGUGACUGAGAAAUCACUUAAAGUGUUUCAUUUAGAGGAAGUAAAAGUCGUAACAAGGUUUCCGUAGGUGAACCUGCAGAAGGAUCAAAGC